ACGGGUGAGUAACGCGCGAGAAUCUGCCCUUUAGUGAAGAAUACCUUCGAGAAAUCGAAGUUAAUACUGCAUACGUCCCUUCGGGGAGAAAGAUGGCCUCUUUGCUAUCGCUAAAGGAUGAGCUUGCGUACUAUUAGCUAGUUGGUAGGGUAAUGGCCUACCAAGGCGAUGAUGGUUAGCCGGCCUGAGAGGGUGUACGGCCACAUUGGAACUGAGAUACGGUCCAGACUCCUACGGGAGGCAGCAGUGAGGAAUAUUGCGCAAUGGACGAAAGUCUGACGCAGCGACGCCGCGUGAAGGAUGAAGGCCUUCGGGUUGUAAACUUCUGUUAAGUGGGAAGAAAUCCUUGUUAAUAAUACGAACAAGGGAUGACGGUACCAUUAGAGAAAGCACCGGCUAAUCUCGUGCCAGCAGCCGCGGUAAUACGAGAGGUGCAAGCGUUAUUCGGAAUUACUGGGUGUAAAGGGUGUGUAGGUGGCUUGUUAAGUCUAUUGUUGAAUCUCUCAGCCUAACUGAGAGUUUGCGGUAGAAACUGGCUUGCUUGAGGGUGGAAGAGAGAGGUGGAAUUCUCGGA
rnacentral:rRNA from 1 species